GGCCAGUGGGUCCGAGCUGGUGCGGAGAAGCUGCUUGCACGGGAGAAUCGGGUGUGGAGGAGCUGCGUGGGUGUGGUUUUGCUCUGCUAGUUCUCUUUCGGCAAACAGUUUGGUGCUGGCUGUGAGCAGGGCUCUGUGGGCUCCGUGCUGGGGAUGCCCUAGCCAAAAACCGUCUAGAUGCUGGGGGAGCCAGUCUGGGAUGACACAGAUGUACAGGUAAGCAACAGGGCAGGAUGACGUCAGCCUCUAUCCCACCUUCCUCUGUGUUCCUCUGCUUAUUCUCAUCCCUCCUUCAGCUCAUUCCAGAGUACUUUGCCUCUUCACCUCUCCUUCUGUUCCGUACUCUUCUUACCAUUCCCAGGCUCCCUUCUCCCCUUGUUCUGACCCAAGCUGUUUCCUUUGUAUCUUGCUGUUUUGUUACUUGGCCACCGGAUAGUGUUGCAGGGAAAGCCACGUUCGCAGGGGAUUUAGUGACACAGAAUGCCCCAUGCCUGGCCUUCAUCCUUGUGUGAAGAAAUGCCUGUUAAUUGUCGUCUUGUUGCAGGGCUCCGCGGUCUCUCAGCGCUUAUACCCACUGCUUGUGCCGCAGUCACUUGCAGUGCUUCAGGAUCGUGACGCGCCAUGCAGCUCCAACUGUCUUAAUUAUUCUGCUGCCUAUUGAGUGAUGGGAGGAAUCUGAGAUUUGAGAAGUUAAUCUCAUGGUUGGCUCAAUGGUAGAGUGCAUGUAUGAGGUCCUGGGUUCAAUCCCCAGUACUUCCAUUAAAAAAAUAAUAAUUUCAUGAAAACAGUAGACAGGAGGGACCCACUGAUGUGUGAUGUGACAUAGAACCUUGUGUAACUGGGGAAGAUAAGCCUUAGCAUCUGUUUUUUUUUUUUUUUUUUU